CUACUCUUGGAUGAUAAGGCACAAGGAAAGCUAUGGACGAUGUUGGGAUCUGAUUCUUAAGCUCAGGAUGCAAUUCGUGUAGCCGUUGCAAGAAUCAGAAGCUUCAUAACCUAAGGACGAGAAAUCACGGUUACAGAACCUC